UACAGAGGGGGCAAGCGUUGUUCGGAAUUACUGGGCGUAAAGGGCGCGUAGGCGGCCUUCUAAGUCGAACGUGAAAUCCCCGGGCUCAACCCGGGAACUGCGUCCGAUACUGGAAGGCUUGAAUCCGGGAGAGGGAUGCGGAAUUCCAGGUGUAGCGGUGAAAUGCGUAGAUAUCUGGAGGAACUCCGGUGGCGAAGGCGGCGUGCUGGACCCGAUCUGACGCUGAGGCGCGAAAGCCAGGGGAGCAAACGGG
rnacentral:rRNA from 1 species